rnacentral:lncRNA from 1 species
CUCCCUCCCCAUCACCGCCACCAUGGCACCGGGACGAGGACGCACAACCCGACGUCAUGUUUAAGGGCAAACAAACACAUAAUGAUCGCAGGUCAGCGAUGUCUGAGCUCUGCCACACGAUCCUCAUCACGUACAUGUGGACAAAGCAAAGAGAAGCAGGAGGAAGAUGACGAGGAUGAGGAUGAUAUUACUUCUCUUUUUAAGCCCUGCGGAAAAUAAAAUACGAGAAAACGAGAUUUUAGAAAUGAAAAAAAGGAGAAAUCUCGAUUCGAAGGGAACUUUUAAAAAACGAUAAAACGUUGAAUUAAAAUCUUUUCACUCACUUCUGACAUUAACGUUAAACUGCACAGUUGGAUUCAUUCAUUCUGAUUAAAGAUAUCAAAUGUUUUUUUUGACUUUCAUUUCAAAUUAUUCAAAUUUGAGUCUCGGGGUUGUUUUUGAAAAGUCUUGUGUGUUUCUGUUGGUUGUUUGUUUGUUUUUUUGAAAUGCUGAUUGAUGGAGAUUCUCCCAGCUGAUUUUAUUAAACUGUUUUUUUUUACAGUGCAGAACAGGAACUAAAACUUUAUAUAACCUCUCACACACACACACACACACACACACACACAGUCCAGCGGGUCUGACUGAGCCUCCUUAUGUUCAGAUGAUGAUAAUAAACUUGUGAUGUUUGAAUUUAAAACUUGAUCCUGGAUUCAGAGGAUUUUUAUUCUAAAACUUUUUUCUGUCACUUUUUUUUCAGUUUUGGUUUUGUAAAAAAAAAAAAAGAAUUGGGAAUUUGUUUUAUUUUUAUUUAAAUUUUGUUUUGCACUUUUGUCGUUAGCGUUCACUUGUACCAAACGUGUCCCGUCUGUUUUGUUGCUGUCUGUUAUUUUAUUUUUUCUGAGAGAAACUUUACUUGAUUAAAAAGGAUGAAACAAACCCGACGUGUCUGUCUGACUGAAACAAAUACAUAUUCUUCUUGUAUAUGUCAUUUCUCUCCGUAUACUGUACGUCAAGUGUUUAGGUUUUAGCCGCUGCUUUAAAUUAAAUCUGAACUAAAGUUUUUUUGUUUUAAAAGUUUUCUCUCUCUGUGACAUUCGUCGUACAGAGGCGACUUUUAUUUGAGUAAACAAACUAUUUAUUUCCUUUUUUUUAUUUCUUCAUCGAGAAUUAUGGACAGGGUCACUUUUUAAAUAAAAAUAAAUAAAACACUUAGUUUCA